AGCGAACGCUGGCGGCAGGCCUAACACAUGCAAGUCGAACGAACCUUUCGGGGUUAGUGGCGGACGGGUGAGUAACACGUGGGAACGUGCCUUUAGGUUCGGAAUAACUCAGGGAAACUUGUGCUAAUACCGAAUGUGCCCUUCGGGGGAAAGAUUUAUCGCCUUUAGAGCGUCCCGCGUCUGAUUAGCUAGUUGGUUGAGGUAAUGGCUCACCAAGGCGACGAUCAGUAGCUGGUCUGAGAGGAUGAUCAGCCACAUUGGGACUGAGACACGGCCCAAACUCCUACGGGAGGCAGCAGUGGGGAAUCGUGCGCAAUGGGCGAAAGCCUGACGCAGCCAUGCCGCGUGAAUGAUGAAGGUCUUAGGAUUGUAAAAUUCUUUCACCGGGGACGAUAAUGACGGUACCCGGAGAAGAAGCCCCGGCUAACUUCGUG
rnacentral:rRNA from 1 species